CCUACGGGAGGCAGCAGUGGGGAAUAUUGCACAAUGGGCGCAAGCCUGAUGCAGCAACGCCGCGUGAACGAAGAAGGCUCUUGGGUCGUAAAGUUCUGUUCUGAGGGAAGAAGAAAGUGACGGUACCUCAGGAGAAAGCCCCAGCUAACUACGUGCCAGCAGCCGCGGUAAUA
rnacentral:rRNA from 1 species